AAGGCUAAAUACAAGCACGAGUCCGAUAGCGAACAAGUACCGUGAGGGAAAGUUGAAAAGUACUCUGAAGAGAGAGUAAACAGUACGUGAAACCGCAUGCAGGUAAACGGGUGGCGUCAAGCUGCAAGCGCAGGGGAUUCAGCCGGCUAGGAUGUUGUGUAUGUGCCUGGCGCAUCCAUCAGUCAGAGUAUGAUUGGAUAGUCCACUGGUAAACGGUGGGCCCGGCCGCAAGGCUGGGAUGUGUGUACCGGGUGUGUGCCGGAGCAUGCUAUCCGUCUAUGGACUGUCUAGCCGGUGCACUUUCUCUGUGCUGACACCACGACCGGUGGCAUUGCCAGUCUGCUGUGUCCAAGUCGUGUUCGGUCGGUCCUCGUGGCCAACUGGAUGCGAUCACAGGCAAACUCAGUAUACGGCGUAGAGGGGCUUCGGCACUUCUGCGUGUUAUCGGCUACUGGUUGUCAACGGGCUACCUAGUGUUUGUUGUAACCGGCACUUGGGUAGUCUGGUGGGACAUGGUGGUAAGAAUAACUGUGCAAGGCACCGGGUUGAGCGGCCUCAAAUGCACUCUGCCCGCGCGUUACAAGCGGUUAUGGCGGUGCUGUUGCUGCCUGCUCGUGGCUGGGUCUGACUGUCGUGUCGCCUGCGCAAAGUGGGCCCGGCAGUGGCUCGACCCGAGGUGGGUAGUGGAUGGUGCUGUCUGUGUGGAGUGUGGUGGGCCUCAUAGUCUGUGGUGUAGUGGUAGACGAGCUACCCGACCCGUCUUGAAACACGGACCAAGGAGUUCAACAUGUAUGCAAGUCAAAGGGCGUUACGAAACCCAAAGGCGCAGUGAAAGUGAAGCUCCGACUUGUCUCGGGGUGAGGUGAGAUCCUGCUGUUACUCGCAUCAGCCUAAUGCCAGCAUCAGGCUAAGAGCAGUGGGCGCAUCACCGGCCCGUCCCAUGAUGUGGUCAUUGGAUGUCUGCGGUCGU
rnacentral:rRNA from 1 species